rnacentral:rRNA from 1 species
AUGACUUCACGUAGCGAGGUGUUGUCUAUUUAUAAGCGUUUUGCUGCCAUGGUUCAUACUCAGUUCUCUUCCCCCAUUCGUGUUUUUCGUGCUGACUCUGCUGGUGAGUAUAUCUCUAAGAUGUUGCGUGGUGUCCUUGCUGAGCAGGGUACUCUUGCCCAGUUCUCUUGUCCUGGUGCUCAUGCUCAGAAUGGUGUGUCUGAGCGCAAGCAUCGUCACCUUCUUGAGACGGCUCGUGCUAUGAUGAUCGCCGCCUUUCUUCCGCCUCAUUUUUGGGCCGAGGCUAUCUCCACUUCUGUCUAUCUCAUCAACCUUCAGCCAUCUGCUGCUUUGCAGGGUGGUGUUCCUUUUGAGCGUCUGUUUGAUCGCUCUCCCGAUUAUUCGAUGCUUCGUUUGUUUGGUUGUGUUUGCUAUGUUCUUCUUGCCCCUCGCGAACGCACCAAACUGACCGCUCAGUCUGUUGAGUGUGUCUUCUUAGGC